GGACGGACGCUCCUGGUUGGGCUCCCGCUGGACCGAGCCUGCCCCGAGCCCGGUACCCUGAGGUGGACGGGCCGAGCCUGCCCCGAGCCCGAGACCCCGAGGAGCAGCCCAACCUAGACCGUCUUCAGCCCGCCGAGGAGCCCAUGGUCCAAAAGGAAGUUCCUUGGAACCAACUCCAGGACACAGCCCCAAGAUCAGAGCAGCCAGACCUCAACGCUCUGCUAAUGACACCGUGCAGAAGCUGGAGUCCCCCAGAUGACCUGAUCCUGACUGGCCAGCAAGAAAAGUUCACCUGUCUUAUUGGGAGUGCUUGUUGUCACUCUGUGUGUCUGAGGUGUUUACUCGGAUUAAUUAGUGGUUCUGGGGGAGACAGAAGAGAAACGAAGGCAAAGAGAGAUGUCUGCCUAGAAAAAAGACUGGGAUUUUCUGCUCGGUGGGUUUGGAGCAUGCAAGAUAAUACUUUAUUAUAGGUAAUAUGCUAUGUAAAAAUUCUUAUAUAGACUUAUAAAUCACAUAUCAUAUGCAUAAUACAUUGUAUUUUUAUAGUAUGAGAAAGAAAAAUCCCAACAAUUCAUUGUUUCAUAGAGAAAAUUAAAUUGGAAUAAACAUUUGCAAAUAUAUUUUAUAUAUAGU